rnacentral:lncRNA from 1 species
GACAGUAGAUUUCCGAGAGGAAAGGAGAAGAGAAGAUAGGGAUGGAAGCAGAGAAAGAAAGGUUUAGGGAGAGAACUGCGAAGGGAUGGCAGGGGGUGGUCACAAAAAGAGAAAGGGAGAAGAGAUCAGGCUAAUCUUACCCAAUCGAUCCAGCGAUCAGGUGAUCGUUUAUGCGGUAUCAGGACACGAAAAUGGCUCGACAAUGCAAUCCACAACAAAGCUAUUUCUUUCUCUAGUUUAGCUUGGUAACUGCUGGAAUCAAAUGCAAGGCAGACAUGGCACAGACGGCCACUCGUGCACCCCUCCUACCCCACCCCCAGUGGACCAGGGACAGUUCUCGGACUGCCCUAACAUCUAGCUUCUUGUAGCAUGGUCUUUAGCGCAGGGGCUCAGUACUGAAAGCAAUUGCCUUAAACACAGGCUGCAUGAUUUAACGAGGAAGUGGGACCUAGGAAGGCUGCUGCCGCCUAGGUAACCCAUCAUCAGCCUCUUGGUCAUCUUGCUAACCCUCCAAAGCAUAGCGCCCUCGAAAACUCUGAGUGACUACGACCUUCAACCAUUCACCUCCCAGCCCCUGUCUAUGCAAAAAAAAUCGCUGAGGAUUAGAUCAAUGCAAUGGGACCGGUCCUGCUGGUUUAUUUGGGCUGUGUGUUAAGUCGAUUUUCUUACUAUGCCUGGAUCAGUUUCUGCAAGGGAAAGGAUUCCAAGGAAGUGCUAGUGAAAUGCACUGAUGGAAUACUAUUAAUCCUAAUGAUAACAUUCCCAGUGCAGGUAAACUCUGAAAAGAACUGUGAGUGGGAAGAUCCUGCAGGAUUUCCGAAGCGCUGCUCUCCUGAAUUCUCAUUGGAUCAUCCCCAGCAGCCUAAAUCAGUGCUGCUGCUCUCUGAAGAUGACUACAGCCUAGCUCACUAGUUGUCUACUCCUGUUUACAACACAUCCUUUCACUUCUCUUUGGAGAUCUGUUUGUCUUAUUCAUCCUGUUCUCUUGGGUUACCCAGCUUCCUCACUUUGUGGGUACUUCCAGUUUGGUACAUUUGUUUGCCUGAGGAUUAUCAUAAGAAAGGUUCCCACUGUUAACCAUUCUC